CCUACGGGAGGCAGCAGUGAGGAAUAUUGGUCAAUGGACGAGAGUCUGAACCAGCCAAGUCGCGUGAAGGAUGACUGCCCUAUGGGUUGUAAACUUCUUUUAUAUGGGAAUAAAAUGUUCCACGUGUGUGCUUUUGUAUGUACCCUAUGAGUAAGGGUCGGCUAACUCCGUGCCAGCAGCCGCGGUAAUACGGAGGGUCCGAGCGUUAUCCGGAUUGAUUGGGUUUAAAGGGCGCGUAGGUGGAUUGUUAAGUCAGUUGUGAAAGUUUGCGGCUCAACCGUAAAAUUGCAGUUGAAACUGGCAGGCUUGAGUACAGUAGAGGUGGGCGGAAUUCGUGGUGUAGCGGUGAAAUGCUUAGAUAUCACGAAGAACUCCGAUUGCGAAGGCAGUUCACUGGACUGCAACUGACACUGAGGCUCGAAAGUGUGGGUAUCAAACAGGAUUAGAUACCCGAGUAGUC
rnacentral:rRNA from 1 species